rnacentral:rRNA from 1 species
ACGGAAGUUUUCGGAUGGAAGUCUAUUUGACUGAGCGGCGGACGGGUGAGUAACGCGUGGGUAACCUACCCUAUGCAGGGGGAUAACAACUGGAAACGGUUGAUAAUACCGCAUAAGCGCGCGAAAUCNCAUGAUUUUGUGUGAAAAGCCGANACGGCAUAGGAUGGACCCGCGUCUGGUUAGGCAGUUGGUGGGGUAACGGCCUACCAAACCGACGAUCAGUAGCCGACCUGAGAGGGUGACCGGCCACAUUGGGACUGAGACACNGCCCAAACUCCUACGGGAGGCAGCAGUGGGGAAUAUUGCACAAUGGGGGAAACCCUGAUGCANCGACGCCGCGUGAGCGAAGAAGUAUUUCGGUAUGUAAAGCUCUAUCAGCAGGGAAGAAGAAAGACGGUACCUGACUAAGAAGCCCCGGCUAACUACGUGCCAGCNGCCGCGGUAAUACGUAGGGGGCAAGCGUUAUCCGGAUUUACUGGGUGUAAAGGGAGCGCAGGCGGCAUGGCAAGCCAGAAGUGAAAACCCGGGGCUCAACCCCGCGGAUUGCUUUUGGAACUGUUAAGCUAGAGUGCAGGAGGGGCAAGCGGAAUUCCUAGUGUAGCGGUGAAAUGCGUAGAUAUUAGGAGGAACACCGGUGGCGAAGGGGCUUGCUGGACUGUAACUGACGCUGAGCUCGAAAGCGUGGGGAGCAAACAGGAUUAGAUACCCUGGUAGUCCACGCCGUAAACGAU